UGACCACUACCUACGGGGCGCAGCAGUGGGGAAUAUUGCACAAUGGGCGCAAGCCUGAUGCAGCGACGCCGCGUGAGGGAUGGAGGCCUUCGGGUUGUAAACCUCUUUUAUCGGGGAGCAAGCGAGAGUGAGUUUACCCGUUGAAUAAGCACCGGCUAACUACGUGCCAGCAGCCGCGGUAAUACGUAGGGUGCAAGCGUUAUCCGGAAUUAUUGGGCGUAAAGGGCUCGUAGGCGGUUCGUCGCGUCCGGUGUGAAAGUCCAUCGCUUAACGGUGGAUCCGCGCCGGGUACGGGCGGGCUUGAGUGCGGUAGGGGAGACUGGAAUUCCCGGUGUAACGGUGGAAUGUGUAGAUAUCGGGAAGAACACCAAUGGCGAAGGCAGGUCUCUGGGCCGUUACUGACGCUGAGGAGCGAAAGCGUGGGGAGCGAACAGGAUUAGAUACCCUGGUAGUCCACGCCGUAAACGGUGGAUGCUGGAUGUGGGGCCCGUUCCACGGGUUCCGUGUCGGAGCUAACGCGUUAAGCAUCCCGCCUGGGGAGUACGGCCGCAAGGCUAAAACUCAAAGAAAUUGACGGGGGCCCGCACAAGCGGCGGAGCAUGCGGAUUAAUUCGAUGCAACGCGAAGAACCUUACCUGGGCUUGACAUGUUCCCGACGGUCGUAGAGAUACGGCUUCCCUUCGGGGCGGGUUCACAGGUGGUGCAUGGUCGUCGUCAGCUCGUGUCGUGAGAUGUUGGGUUAAGUCCCGCAACGAGCGCAACCCUCGCCCCGUGUUGCCAGCGGAUUAUGCCGGGAACUCACGGGGGACCGCCGGGGUUAACUCGGAGGAAGGUGGGGAUGACGUCAGAUCAUCAUGCCCCUUACGUCCAGGGCUUCACGCAUGCUACAAUGGCCGGUACAGCGGGAUGCGACAUGGCGACAUGGAGCGGAUCCCUGAAAACCGGUCUCAGUUCGGAUUGGAGUCUGCAACCCGACUCCAUGAAGGCGGAGUCGCUAGUAAUCGCGGAUCAGCAACGCCGCGGUGAAUGCGUUCCCGGGCCUUGUACACACCGCCCGUCAAGUCAUGAAAGUGGGCAGCACCCGAAGCCGGUGGCCUAACCCCUUGUGGGAUGGAGCCGUCUAAGGUGAGGCUCGUGAUUGGGACUAAGUCGUAACAAGGUAGCCGUACCGGAAGGUGCGGCUG
rnacentral:rRNA from 1 species